rnacentral:rRNA from 1 species
GUGUGACUGCGUACCUUUUGUAUAAUGGGUCAGCGACUUAUAUUCUGUAGCAAGGUUAACCGAAUAGGGGAGCCGAAGGGAAACCGAGUCUUAACUGGGCGUUAAGUUGCAGGGUAUAGACCCGAAACCCGGUGAUCUAGCCAUGGGCAGGUUGAAGGUUGGGUAACACUAACUGGAGGACCGAACCGACUAAUGUUGAAAAAUUAGCGGAUGACUUGUGGCUGGGGGUGAAAGGCCAAUCAAACCGGGAGAUAGCUGGUUCUCCCCGAAAGCUAUUUAGGUAGCGCCUCGUGAAUUCAUCUCCGGGGGUAGAGCACUGUUUCGGCAAGGGGGUCAUCCCGACUUACCAACCCGAUGCAAACUGCGAAUACCGGAGAAUGUUAUCACGGGAGACACACGGCGGGUGCUAACGUCCGUCGUGAAGAGGGAAACAACCCAGACCGCCAGCUAAGGUCCCAAAGUCAUGGUUAAGUGGGAAACGAUGUGGGAAGGCCCAGACAGCCAGGAUGUUGGCUUAGAAGCAGCCAUCAUUUAAAGAAAGCGUAAUAGCUCACUGGUCGAGUCGGCCUGCGCGGAAGAUGUAACGGGGCUAAACCAUGCACCGAAGCUGCGGCAGCGACGCUUAUGCGUUGUUGGGUAGGGGAGCGUUCUGUAAGCCUGUGAAGGUGUGCUGUGAGGCAUGCUGGAGGUAUCAGAAGUGCGAAUGCUGACAUAAGUAACGAUAAAGCGGGUGAAAAGCCCGCUCGCCGGAAGACCAAGGGUUCCUGUCCAACGUUAAUCGGGGCAGGGUGAGUCGACCCCUAAGGCGAGGCCGAAAGGCGUAGUCGAUGGGAAACAGGUUAAUAUUCCUGUACUUGGUGUUACUGCGAAGGGGGGACGGAGAAGGCUAUGUUGGCCGGGCGACGGUUGUCCCGGUUUAAGCGUGUAGGCUGGUUUUCCAGGCAAAUCCGGAAAAUCAAGGCUGAGGCGUGAUGACGAGGCACUACGGUGCUGAAGCAACAAAUGCCCUGCUUCCAGGAAAAGCCUCUAAGCAUCAGGUAACAUCAAAUCGUACCCCAAACCGACACAGGUGGUCAGGUAGAGAAUACCAAGGCGCUUGAGAGAACUCGGGUGAAGGAACUAGGCAAAAUGGUGCCGUAACUUCGGGAGAAGGCACGCUGAUAUGUAGGUGAAGUCCCUCGCGGAUGGAGCUGAAAUCAGUCGAAGAUACCAGCUGGCUGCAACUGUUUAUUAAAAACACAGCACUGUGCAAACACGAAAGUGGACGUAUACGGUGUGACGCCUGCCCGGUGCCGGAAGGUUAAUUGAUGGGGUUAGCGCAAGCGAAGCUCUUGAUCGAAGCCCCGGUAAACGGCGGCCGUAACUAUAACGGUCCUAAGGUAGCGAAAUUCCUUGUCGGGUAAGUUCCGACCUGCACGAAUGGCGUAAUGAUGGCCAGGCUGUCUCCACCCGAGACUCAGUGAAAUUGAACUCGCUGUGAAGAUGCAGUGUACCCGCGGCAAGACGGAAAGACCCCGUGAACCUUUACUAUAGCUUGACACUGAACAUUGAGCCUUGAUGUGUAGGAUAGGUGGGAGGCUUUGAAGUGUGGACGCCAGUCUGCAUGGAGCCGACCUUGAAAUACCACCCUUUAAUGUUUGAUGUUCUAACGUUGACCCGUAAUCCGGGUUGCGGACAGUGUCUGGUGGGUAGUUUGACUGGGGCGGUCUCCUCCUAAAGAGUAACGGAGGAGCACGAAGGUUGGCUAAUCCUGGUCGGACAUCAGGAGGUUAGUGCAAUGGCAUAAGCCAGCUUGACUGCGAGCGUGACGGCGCGAGCAGGUGCGAAAGCAGGUCAUAGUGAUCCGGUGGUUCUGAAUGGAAGGGCCAUCGCUCAACGGAUAAAAGGUACUCCGGGGAUAACAGGCUGAUACCGCCCAAGAGUUCAUAUCGACGGCGGUGUUUGGCACCUCGAUGUCGGCUCAUCACAUCCUGGGGCUGAAGUAGGUCCCAAGGGUAUGGCUGUUCGCCAUUUAAAGUGGUACGCGAGCUGGGUUUAGAACGUCGUGAGACAGUUCGGUCCCUAUCUGCCGUGGGCGCUGGAGAACUGAGGGGGGCUGCUCCUAGUACGAGAGGACCGGAGUGGACGCAUCACUGGUGUUCGGGUUGUCAUGCCAAUGGCACUGCCCGGUAGCUAAAUGCGGAAGAGAUAAGUGCUGAAAGCAUCUAAGCACGAAACUUGCCCCGAGAUGAGUUCUCCCUGACUCCUUGAGAGUCCUGAAGGAACGUUGAAGACGACGACGUUGAUAGGCCGGGUGUGUAAGCGCAGCGAUGCGUUGAGCUAACCGGUACUAAUGAACCGUGAGGCUUAACCUUACAACGCCGAAGCUGUU